GACAUCGUGUCCGAGUGGUUAAGGAGAAUGAUUCGAAAUCAUUUGGGUUUCACCCGCGCAGGUUCGAGUCCUGUCGAUGUCG
rfam:Fistulifera solaris DNA, contig: scaffold00133, strain: JPCC DA0580.